rnacentral:rRNA from 1 species
AACGAACGCUGGCGGAAGGAAGAACACAUGUAAGUCGAACGAGACCUUAGUGUCUAGUGGAGCAAGGGUGAGUAACGCGUGGUAAGUUGAUAUUAGGUUAGGAAUAAUUCAAAGAAAGGGGUGCUAAUACUGGAUAAUGUCUUCGGACCAAAGAUUUAUCGCCUUUGGAUGGGCCCGCGUUGGAUUAGCUAGUUGGUAGGGUAAAAGCCUACCAAGGCGACGAUCCAUAGCUGGUCUGAGAGGAUGAUCAGCCACACUGGGACUGAGACACGGCCCAGACUCCUACGGGAGGCAGCAGUGGGGAAUAUUGGACAAUGGGCGAAAGCCUGAUACAGAAAUGCCGCGUGAGUGAUGAAUGCCUUAGAGUUGUAAAGCUCUUUUACCCGGGAUGAUAAUGACAGUACCGGGAGAAUAAGCUCCGGCUCCCUCCGUC